rnacentral:rRNA from 1 species
CGGGAGGCAGCAGUGGGGAAUUUUGGACAAUGGGGGAAACCCUGAUCCAGCCAUGCCGCGUGCAGGAUGAAGGCCUUCGGGUUGUAAACUGCUUUUGUACGGAACGAAAAGGUCUUUUCUAAUAAAGAAGGCUCAUGACGGUACCGUAAGA